rnacentral:lncRNA from 1 species
UCGGGGAUGGCGUGGUUGACAAUCUGCUUGCACAUUUUGGGCAGUGACAUGAAACGUCUUAAAGAGAGCGACCUAGUCGUGACUCAACCAAUAAGUAUUAUUUCGUGUCAUUUAUAAUUGUUGCAAGCUAACAGUAACAACAUGCAAUGAUGAAAAUGGCUACACUAGCGUUAACUGUUCCUCUAGCCUCCACACUAAACUUAGAC